UGGGGGAUAUUGCACAAUGGGCGAAAGCCUGAUGCAGCGACGCCGCGUGGGGGAUGAAGGCUUUCGGGUUGUAAACCUCUUUCGCUAUCGAACAAGGCCCGCUUAGGGUGGGUUGAGGGUAGGUGGAGAAGAAGCGCCGGCUAACUACGUGCCAGCAGCCGCGGUAAUACGUAGGGCGCGAGCGUUGUCCGGAAUUAUUGGGCGUAAAGGGCUUGUAGGCGGCUUGUUGCGCCUGCUGUGAAAACGCGGGGCUUAACUUCGCGCGUGCAGUGGGAACGGGCAGGCUUGAGUGUGGUAGGGGGGACUGGAAUUCCAGGUGUAGCGGUGGAAUGCGCAGAUAUCUGGAGGAACACCGAUGGCGAAGGCAGGUCACUGGGCCAUUACUGACGGUGAAGAGCGAAAGCAUGGGUAGCGAACAGG
rnacentral:rRNA from 1 species